rnacentral:rRNA from 1 species
GAUGAACGCUAGCGACAGGCUUAACACAUGCAAGUCGAGGGGCAGCACGGGAGUAGCAAUACAACUGGUGGCGACCGGCGCACGGGUGAGUAACGCGUAUGCAACCUACCUAUCAGAGGGGAAUAACCCGGCGAAAGUCGGACUAAUACCGCAUAAAACAGGGGCACCGCAUGGUGAUAUUUGUUAAAGAAAUUCGCUGAUAGAUGGGCAUGCGUUCCAUUAGGUAGUUGGUGAGGUAACGGCUCACCAAGCCGACGAUGGAUAGGGGAACUGAGAGGUUGGUCCCCCACACUGGUACUGAGACACGGACCAGACUCCUACGGGAGGCAGCAGUGAGGAAUAUUGGUCAAUGGGCGAGAGCCUGAACCAGCCAAGUCGCGUGAAGGAAGAAGGAUCUAUGGUUCGUAAACUUCUUUUGCAGGGGAAUAAAGUGCAGGACGUGUCCUGUUUUGUAUGUACCCUGAGAAUAAGGAUCGGCUAACUCCGUGCCAGCAGCCGUC